rnacentral:rRNA from 1 species
GAUGAACGCUGGCGGCGUGCUUAACACAUGCAAGUCGAGCGAAGCACUUUGGAAAGAUUCUUCGGAAGAUUGAGAGAGUGACUGAGCGGCGGACGGGUGAGUAACGCGUGGGGAACCUGCCUCAUACAGGGGAAUAACAGUUAGAAAUGACUGCUAAUGCCGCAUAAGCGCACGGAGGCGCAUGCCUUAGUGUGAAAAACUCCGGUGGUAUGAGAUGGCCCUGCGUCUGAUUAGCUGGUUGGUGGGGUAACGGCCUACCAAGGCGACGAUCAGUAGCCGGCCUGAGAGGGUGAACGGGCCACAUUUGGGACUGGAGACACGGGCCCAAACUCCUACGGGAGGCAGCAGUGGGGAAUAUUGCACAAUGGGGGAAACCCUGAUGCAGCGACGCCGCGUGAGUG